GUCGUUUGUUCACUUCGAUUGGACUUUUAUUUUUGUUCGGCUUCUGAUUAAUCCAGACUUCUGUGUAAUUAGGUUUUUGUCAUGUCGAGCCUUUUGUCAAUACCGUUUCAGUUAGGGUUUAACCCAUGUUCUUCUUCUUUGCCUCUCCAGAGCACCCAUGUUGAUUAGGUCUUUGAAAUCGAUCUUCCAUCUUCUUCCUCAGAGUACGAAGCGUUACCAGUUACGGGAUCAUCAUCUUAAAACCCUCCAUUACUCUCUCACACACGAUCUAUAUUCAAUGCGAUUUCUGGAUCUGCAAGCGGUACAGGUUCGUCUAUAAAAAGACUGUACGCUCCUCCUCCACUGUUCAAGUCCGUUUGCUGCGUUUCUGGGAGGCUAGGAGUGCCUGCCGUGGUUGAGAGCUCAUGGGUGUGGAUAUGCUCUUACUGGAUUCUCAGGUAUCGGAAGCUCCAACGUUUUAUGAUCUAUGUGCACGCGAAGGGGAUGAUAGUAGAUGAUGAGUAUGUACUCAUCGGAUCUGCUAAUACCAACCAAAGAUCAGUGGCCGGUAUUGAAAGAUACAGAAAUAGCAAUGGGUGCAUAUCAACCCCAUCAUACAUGGACUAACCAGGCAAGACACCACGUGGCCAGGUGUAUGGAUACAAAAUGUCACUAUGGGCAGAGCAUUUAGGCAAAACAGGAGAUGAGUUCGUGGACCCUGCUGACCUAGAAUGCGUACACGAAAUCGCUGAAGGAAUUCUCAGAGCUGCAAGGUCACUUGAUUAAAUAUCCUCCACAAGUAGACAGUGAAGGUAAAGUGAACUCGCUUCCAGAUUACGACAGCUUCCCAGAUGUUGGUGGUAAGAUCAUUGGAGCUCAUUCAAUGGCUCUCCUUGAUACUCCAACCACGUAAUGUUACAUGGUUCGUUUCGAUCAUGAAGAAAAAGAAGCUGAGAGAGUGUUGUGUUAUUUGUGUACAUUUAACUGUGUUGUUUUGUUUGUUCUUUUGUGAUUUGUCGUCAAACUGUAUAUAUCAGUUUGGGGGUGCAAAAAGUAGAGAGUGUGGACCAUGGGGGCGAAUCUCAGUUACGUAAGGAUGCUCUGUGUUUCCUAUUUUUCAGGUAAUAAAAAAAACCGUAGUAUAAUUCCAGACA